rnacentral:rRNA from 1 species
CCAGGAGGUUGGCUUAGAAGCAGCCAUCCUUUAAAGAAAGCGUAAUAGCUCACUGGUCAAGCGGCUCUGGGCCGACAAUAUAACGGGGCUCAAGUACAGGACCGAAGCCGUAGAAUAGACGGAAUCCUGCGGGAUUCCAUAUUGGUAGAGGAGCGUUCUCAAUGCAGCGAAGUCAGACCGUGAGGACUGGUGGAGCGUUGAGAAGUGACCCUGCCGGCAUAAGUAGCGAGAAGGGAAGUGAGAAUCUUCCCCGCCGUAAGCCUAAGGUUUCCUGAGGAAGGUUCGUCCGCUCAGGGUCAGUCGGGAGCUAACGCGAGGCCGAAAGGCGUAGCGGAUGCACAUCCGGUUAAUAUUCCGGAACUACCUAUUCCACGUUAUUACGAUGGGGGGACGCAGGAGGCUAACCAGGCCCACGAUUGGAAGUGUGGGUGCGAGGCUCGUAGGGAGAUCCGCCAGGUAAAUCCGGUGGGUCGCUAAUCCUGAGGGGCCGGAGCGAGGGCCGCAAGGCCCAUAAAGCUGGUGACGCCACGCUGCCGAGAAAAGCCUCUAAGGAGUGGAGUGGGUACCCGUACCGCAAACCGACACAGGUAGGCGAGGAGAAAAUCCUCAGGCGCAAGUGAGAACCCUCGUUUAGGAACUCGGCAAACUAGCCCCGUAACUUCGGAAUAAGGGGUGCUCGAUUAGUGUGUACGAUCCUCGCGGUCGUAUGCAUGAACGAGUUGCAAUAAAGAGGCCCAAGCAACUGUUUACUAAAAACACAGGGCUAUGCUAAGUCGAACACGACGUAUAUGGCCUGACGCCUGCCCGGUGCCGGAAGGUUAAAGGGAGAGGUUAGCCGCAAGGCGACGCUUCGAACUGAAGCCCCGGUAAACGGCGGCCGUAACUAUAACGGUCCUAAGGUAGCGAAAUUCCUUGUCGGGUAAGUUCCGACCUGCACGAAUGGCGUAAUGAUCUGGGCGCUGUCUCAACGAGGGGCACUGCGAAUUUGUGGUACCGGUGAAGACGCCGGUUGCCCGUGACUAGACGAAAAGACCCCGUGCACCUUUACUACAUCUUAGUAGUGAAUGCUGGCGUGUUAUGCGCAGGAUAGGUGGGAGGCUUUGAACCCAGGCUUUCGGGCUUGGGGGAGCCAACGGUGAGAUACCACCCUUAACACUCCGGCGUUCUAACCUCGACCUGUCAUCCAGGUCAGGGACACUGCUAGGUGGGUAGUUUGACUGGGGCGGUCGCCUCCUAAACUGUAACGGAGGCGCGCGAAGGUUCGCUCAGGCUGUUUGGAAAUCAGCCGUAGAGUGCAAAAGCAUAAGCGAGCUUGACUGCGACACCUACAAGUGGAGCAGGUGGGAAACCAGGCUUUAGUGAUCCGGUGGUUCCGC